GACGAACCGUGCGAACGUUGUUCGGAUUCACUGGGCUUAAAGGGCGCGUAGGCGGGCUGCCAAGUCUGUGGUGAAAUCCCCCGGCUCAACUGGGGAACUGCACAGGAAACUAGCGGGCUUGAGUUCGGGAGAGGGAAGCGGAAUUCCGGGUGUAGCGGUGAAAUGCGUAGAUAUCGUGAGGAACACCAGAGGCGAAGGCGGUUACCUGGACAGUUACUGACGCUCAGGCACGAAAGCAUGGGGAGCAAAAGGG
rnacentral:rRNA from 1 species